rnacentral:rRNA from 1 species
AGUGAACGCUGGCGGUAGGCCCAACACAUGCAAGUCGAACGGCAGCACAGUAAGAGCUUGCUCUUACGGGUGGCGAGUGGCGGACGGGUGAGGAAUACAUCGGAAUCUACUUUUUCGUGGGGGAUAACGUAGGGAAACUUACGCUAAUACCGCAUACGACCUACGGGUGAAAGCAGGGGAUCUUCGGACCUUGCGCGAUUGAAUGAGCCGAUGUCGGAUUAGCUAGUUGGCGGGGUAAAGGCCCACCAAGGCGACGAUCCGUAGCUGGUCUGAGAGGAUGAUCAGCCACACUGGAACUGAGACACGGUCCAGACUCCUACGGGAGGCAGCAGUGGGGAAUAUUAGACAAUGGGCGCAAGCCUGGUCCAGCCAUACCGCGUGGGUGAAGAAGGCCUUCGGGUUGUAAAGCCCUUUUGUUGGGAAAGAAAAGCAGCAGGUUAAUACCCCGCUGUUCUGACGGUACCCAAAGAAUAAGCACCGGCUAACUUCGUG